rnacentral:rRNA from 1 species
ACGGAAGGCAGCAGUGGGGAAUAUUGCACAAUGGGGGAAACCUUGAUGCAGCAACGCCGCGUGAGUGAUGACGGCCUUCGGGUUGUAAAGCUCUGUCUUCAGGGACGAUAAUGACGGUACCUGAGGAGGAAGCCACGGCUAACUACGUGCCAGCAGCCGCGGUAAUACGUAGGUGGCGAGCGUUGUCCGGAUUUACUGGGCGUAAAGGGAGCGUAGGCGGAUUUUUAAGUGAGAUGUGAAAUACUCGGGCUUAACCUGAGUGCUGCAUUUCAAACUGGAAGUCUAGAGUGCAGGAGAGGAGAAGGGAAUUCCUAGUGUAGCGGUGAAAUGCGUAGAGAUUAGGAAGAACACCAGUGGCGAAGGCGCUUCUCUGGACUGUAACUGACGCUGAGGCUCGAAAGCGUGGGGAGCAAACAGGAUUAGAUACCCUGGUA